rnacentral:lncRNA from 1 species
CAAAUAGAGAUUAGAGAUAGUAAUGUUGAGGAAUAAAUCUAGAGCAAUGAGUAGCCCAAAAAAUCCCACAACCUCUAUUUCAUCUUUCCUGGGAUGACCAAGAUUUUUGGAUGGGUUUUUAACAAAGAAUGUUUCUGAUGCAGAAUCUGUAGCAAUGAGUCCAACCUCAAUUCUUGACACAAAAAACUCAUCAAAUUCUGCUAACCCUUUUGGCUAUGACAAAAAUUGGUCCAAAUCCUCAAUCCCAUCUCCAAAUUCUUGUAAUAAACUAAACUCAGAAGCCACUGAAAUCUCCAAAAAUUGGUCCAAAUCCUCAAUUCCCUUGUCGAAUCACCUGAAUCUCCAGCUGAUUUUGGAAUCAAGACUAGGGAUUCUCAGUUGUUGAGUCCUUUUUCUAGCAUCACAGCAAAGGAUUCUACUCAGAGUUUUACUAGGCAGUUAUCUUUGAAGGAAAUUGAGCUUUCUGAGGACUAUACCUGUGCGAUCACUCAUGGGCCUAAUCCAAAACACUCUUUGGAGAUGGCAAAGAUGUUUACAUGUACAUGUUCCACCUUCGAUUAUGUUUGAGAUGGCAAAGAUGUUGGAUGUUUACAUGGCAAAACAAUGGUGAUGCACUGGGUAGAACUAGUUGGGCCAAAAUUCAAUCUAAUUCAAGGAUCCUGAAGCAACGAUGGAAUAUUACAUGAAGGCAGCUGCACAAGAAGAGAAGCUGAGGCCUCCUAAACACUUUGGGAUGAGAUACCUCCAUUGUCUACAUCCAUUUCAGUAGUUAAGUUGGAUUGUCCAUAUUUUUGGGAUCGUUUCCUAUUACCUUUUCCAAUUUUUGAGUUCCUCUCACGUGUAAUUAGAUAAUUGCAUUUGUUACGUUGUUUCAAACUUCAAAAGUAAGGAAUUGUAGGAGUAUGUUUGCAACUUCUUGUAACAUGGUUUGCUAGUUUGUGGAUUAAAAUUUGAACUUGAG